AGCUUUGCGUAGUGGCAGUAUCGUAGCCAAUGAGGUUUAUCCGAGGCGCGAUUAUUGCUAAUUGAAACCUUCAUUAAAGACCUAAACCCAGGCUAGUUUCCUCCCAGGGUUACUUUAAGCAGAUUUCCAAAAAAA